GACGAACGCUGGCGGCGUGCUUAACACAUGCAAGUCGAACGGAAAGGCCCUGCUUUUGUGGGGUGCUCGAGUGGCGAACGGGUGAGUAACACGUGAGUAACCUGCCCUUGACUUUGGGAUAACUUCAGGAAACUGGGGCUAAUACCGGAUAGGAGCUCCUGCUGCAUGGUGGGGGUUGGAAAGUUUCGGCGGUUGGGGAUGGACUCGCGGCUUAUCAGCUUGUUGGUGGGGUAGUGGCUUACCAAGGCUUUGACGGGUAGCCGGCCUGAGAGGGUGACCGGCCACAUUGGGACUGAGAUACGGCCCAGACUCCUACGGGAGGCAGCAGUGGGGGAUAUUGAACAAUGGGCGGAAGCCUGAUGCAGCAACGCCGCGUGCGGGAUGACGGCCGUCGGGUUGUAAACAGCUUUCGCCUGUUACGAAGCGUGCGUGACGGUAGUUGGUACAGAAGCACCGCCUAACUACGUG
rnacentral:rRNA from 1 species